GAUGAACGCUGGCGGCGUGCCUAAUACAUGCAAGUCGAGCGAACAGACGAGGAGCUUGCUCCUCUGACGUUAGCGGCGGACGGGUGAGUAACACGUGGAUAACCUACCUAUAAGACUGGGGUAACUUCGGGAAACCGGAGCUAAUACCGGAUAAUAUAUUGAACCGCAUGGUUCAAUAGUGAAAGACGGUUUUGCUGUCACUUAUAGAUGGAUCCGCGCCGCAUUAGCUAGUUGGUAAGGUAACGGCUUACCAAGGCAACGAUGCGUAGCCGACCUGAGAGGGUGAUCGGCCACACUGGAACUGAGACACGGUCCAGACUCCUACGGGAGGCAGCAGUAGGGAAUCUUCCGCAAUGGGCGAAAGCCCGACGGAGCAACGCCGCGUGAGUGAUGAAGGUCUUCGGAUCGUAAAACUCUGUUAUUAGGGAAGAACAAAUGUGUAAGUAACUAUGCACGUCUUGACGGUACCUAAUCAGAAAGCCACGGCUAACUACGUG
rnacentral:rRNA from 1 species